GACGAACGCUGGCGGCGUGGAUUAGGCAUGCAAGUCGAACGGUAUCAUCCUUUCGGGGGUGAGAGAGUGGCGAACUGGUGAGUAACACGUAGGUUAUCUACCCUCAAGACGGGGACAACCCAGGGAAACUUGGGCUAAUACCGGAUGUGAGCAACUUUUAGUUGUUUGAAAGGUGGCGUAAGCUGUCGCUUGGGGAUGAGCCUGCGUCCUAUUAGUUAGUUGGUGAGGUAACGGCUCACCUAGGCAAUGAUAGGUAGGCGGCCUUAACGGGUGGUCGCCCACACUGGGAUUGAGAUACGGCCCAGACUCCUACGGGAGGCAGCAGUCGAGAAUAGUCUACAAUGGCCGGAAGGCUGAUAGUGCGACGCCGCGUGAACGAGGGAGCCCUUCGGGUGUAAAGUUCUUUUCUUAUACGAGCAGUGCUAUAUAUAUGGAUAGUAUAUAUAGAGGGAUAGUAGUAUAGGAAUAAGCAACGGCUAACUCCGUGCCAGCAGCCGCGGUAAAAUCA
rnacentral:rRNA from 1 species